rnacentral:rRNA from 1 species
AUCCGUGUCUAUUAUACCCUGUUGCUUCGGCGGGCCCGCCGCUUGUCGGCCGCCGGGGGGGCGCCUUUGCCCCCCGGGCCCGUGCCCGCCGGAGACCCCAACACGAACACUGUCUGAAAGCGUGCAGUCUGAGUUGAUUGAAUGCAAUCAGUUAAAACUUUCAACAAUGGAUCUCUUGGUUCCGGCAUCGAUGAAGAACGCAGCGAAAUGCGAUAACUAAUGUGAAUUGCAGAAUUCAGUGAAUCAUCGAGUCUUUGAACGCACAUUGCGCCCCCUGGUAUUCCGGGGGGCAUGCCUGUCCGAGCGUCAUUGCUGCCCUCAAGCCCGGCUUGUGUGUUGGGUCGCCGUCCCCCUCUCCGGGGGGACGGGCCCGAAGGCAGCGGCGGCACCGCGUCCGAUCCUCGAGCGUAUGGGGCUUUGUCCAUGAUCUGUGGAUUGGCCGGCGCCUGCCGACGUUUUCCAACCAUUUUUUCAAGGUUGACCUCGGAUCACGUAGGAAUACCCGCUGAACUUAAGCAUAUCAAUAAGCGGAGGA